AGGCAUAAGAUGGACCUUGAGAAGCUGUCAAUGGAAGGCGGAAGAUCAUGUAGGAAGAAGAUCGAGUGUUUAUGCGGGGAUUGUUGCUUCACCAGGUCUAAGGAUGAGGUACUGAAGGUGAUGCUGGGCAGGACGUACAACCAGCUGGUAGACAGAACUACCAAGUUAGGCAGACAGAGAGGGAAGUUCCGGCGUGUGCAAGCCGUUCAUCUUAGUCAACUACCCAGGAACUAUCCUAUAGCUCUAAACCCUAGGUGUAUGUACUAUCCUUGCUAGGACGCACCUCUGAGGGUACUAUUCCUGCUAAGACGUACCUCUGAGGGUAGUAUCCCUGCUAGAACGCACCUCUGAGGGUACUAUUCCUGCUAAGACGCACCUCUGAGGGUACUGUUCCUGCUAAGACGCACCUCUGAGGGUACUAUCCAUGCUAGAACGCACCUCUGAGGGUACUAUCCCUGCUAGAACGCACCUCUGAGGGUACUAUUCCUGCUAGGACGCACCUCUGAGGGUACUAUUCCUGCUAAGACGCACCUCUGAGGGUACUGUUCCUGCUAAGACGCACCUCUGAGGGUACUAUCCAUGCUAGAACGCACCUCUGAGGGUACUAUCCCUGCUAGAACGCACCUCUGAGGGUACUAUUCCUGCUAGGACGCACCUCUGAGGGUACUAUCCCUACUAGGACGUAUCUCUGAGGGUACUAACCUGCCAGAAUACACCUGAGGGCACUAUCCCUGCUAGAACGCACCUCUGAGGGUACUGUUCCCGCUAGAACACAACCUGAGGAUACUAUCCCUAACACACUCUGGGGGUACUACUCCUGCUAGAACGCAUCUCUGAGGGUACUAUCUCUGCUAGAUUGCACUAUGAGGGAAACUAUCCCUGCUAGAACACACACUGAGGGUACUACCCCUGAUAGAACACACACUGAGGGUACUACCCCUGCUAGAACACACACUGAGGGUACUAUCCUUGCUAGAACACACACUGAGGGUACUAUCCCUGCUAGUACGUUACUAGUUCUCCCGAGUAUUCAGGAUACGACAUGUGGCUGCCUACUCAGUAGUCGAUAGUCACCAACUAGCAACUAGUCUGCUGAACACAGAUGUACUACUGUCGCAUCCUUAAAAUUAGUGCGUCCAGGAGACGUUGUCGCGUGAAUGGUUAGAUUUAUUCGUUAUGGAGGCGAGAAACAGUAGUUCCGUUAUUACUGUGUGUGAAAGGCGCAUUUGAACGUUCGUACUGUUGGUGUUGGUAUUCUGCACAGCUCAGCUGGAUACCUCCACUGAUGUGAGGUUACACCUCCAGGGUGAGGUCACACCUCCAGGGUGAGGUCACACCUCCAGGGUGAGGUUACACCUCCAGGGUGAGGUUACACCUCCAGGGUGAGGUUACACCUCCAGGGUGAGGUUACACCUCCAGGGUGAGGUUACACCUCCAGGGUGAGGUUACACCUCCAGGGUGAGGUCACACCUCCAGGGUGAGGUUACACCUCCAGGGUGAGGUUACACCUCCAGGGUGAGGUUACACCUCCAGGGUGAGGUUACACCUCCAGGGUGAGGU